CCCAGGACCCGAUCCCAUCUCGAACUCGGCCGUCAAACACACCAGCGCCCAUGGUACUGUGUCUCAAGACACGGGAGAGUCGGUCGCCGCCAGGC
rnacentral:rRNA from 1 species